GAGCUCAUCUGCACUGGUUUUGAUAGUUGAGGGACCCGUUGUAUCUGGUUUUCCGGUUGAAUGACGAAAAUCGGAUUCGUUGAUAAAUUAAGAGAUCUUAGAUGAACUUAUUCCGUGUAGAAACGAACGGGGGCCUAAACUGGUGUCUGGUGUGGCCCAUUAACACUUCAGUACUGUAGGUUCAUUUACCGGAAAGCCGAACUCCAAAGUCAGAAAGCCCCCACGGAUCAUCCGUGGGCCCCACACGUCAGCCACACUGCAAUCACCAGAUCUCCCACCCCACGACCAGGAGUCGACCGUUGCUCGCCGUUGUGCCACCACGCGAUUUCAAAAUUUUUCAACUCGUCUCUUCUUCUUCUUCUUCUCCAAGCCGCCGCCUCGCAUUAACUCACAGCUCCGAGAAACCAUCCAGCCAAGCCAUGGACGAGAGGGAGAUGGCGGCGAGGAGAGCGCCGAGCGCCGCCACCACGCCACCGACCACCGCCACGCGCUGCUCCACCACCGCGUCCUCCUGCUCCUCGAACUCCAACCCCAGCGUGUCGGCGGCGGACGCCGCCGCCCACCAUAGUCGUGCCGUGGGAUGGGGUUGCGGGAGGAGGAGGGUGCUACUACCCGGGAUGCCGCAAGGACGCCAACUGCGCGUGCGAGAUGUGCCUCGCCAGCAUCAACGCCACCAGGGACCUCCUCCCGCCGGAGGCCGCCUCCGCGCGGAGGUGGUUCGCCGCGGCGGCCAGGGACAGGAAGCCCGCUCCGCGCCCGCUCUUCGGCGGCGCCGACACGACGCCGCACGGCUCCUCCGUCACGGAGCCGUGGACGCCGCCGAUGCGGUCCACCGCGAAGUCGAGGAGGCCCCGGCAGCAGCAGGAGGCGGCCGGCGGCGGCGGUGGCGGCGCCGGGAGGAAGACCCCCGGGGGAUCGCAUGACUGGGCCCUCUACACGGCCACGGUUCUUGGGUUCCUCCUCCUCCUCUGGGUGGACUCCGGCCUCGUCCCGGAGAUCGCGGCGAGGGGCUUCGGCCCCAAGCUCUCGCCGGAGGCCGUGGCACGGCUGGCCACGGAGGCGCGCCUCGCGCCGGGCGGCCUGAGCCACAAGCUCCGCGCCCUGGAGCGGAUGCUCGGGCAGCUCGUCGGCGGCGAGAAGGGGAUCUCCAACUGCAGCUCGCACGAUUCCGUCUGGCAAUUCGAGCAGAAUGAUCAGCGCGUGUUCUACUGGCGCUGCGCCGUGUACAAGUCGGCGGCGGAGGAGGUGACCGUGUGGGGGAGCCCACUCCGCACCUCCGGCCUCCUCCCCCGCGCGCUCCCGGCACGGCACCUCACCAUCCUCUCCGGCAAGAUCACCGAGUGGUCCGACGGGAGGGUGUGGCCGACGGUGAGGGCGAGCAACGGCAGCUCGUGGAGCUACGGUGGGCGGAGCUCGCCGGCGGUGAGGCUGGAGGCCGAGACGUGGGUGGUGGAGUACCAGAGGAGCGUGGUGUUCGAGGGGACGCGGCUGAUCCCCGCCGCGGCGGAGCUGGUGGCGUCCAGGUGCUCGGCGGUGGCGAGGCGGGCUCGCCAGAGGCUGGCCAGGCGACGGUUCCACGGCGGCGCCGGCGGGAUUCAGGCGAACCCGACCUGACUUCAAAGACUCUGGCUUGAAGAAGGGUGGUGUUUAGGAUGGUUUUUAUUAGCUUUUGCUUUGUUCGUCUCAUCUCCUGUGAGAUUGAUGGUGGAACACACUGUGUAUCCGUUCUUUUGGUUGUAUUGAUGUGAUGUUUAGUCAGAUGAACGGGGUAAGAACUGCCGAAUUAUUCUGAUUAUCAAGAUCAUAUCUUGAUUAUUACUCCCUCCAUUCCAAAAUAAACGCAGAGAUGAGUUUCUGUGU